CCUACGGGUGGCAGCAGUGGGGAAUAUUGCACAAUGGGGGGAACCCUGAUGCAGCAAUGCCGCGUGGGUGAAGAAGCACUCCGGUGCGUAAAGCCCUGUCAGCAGGGAAGAAAAUGACAGUACCUGACCAAGAAGCCCCGGCUAACUACGGGCCAGCAGCCGCGGUAAUACGUAGGGGGCAAGCGUUUUCCGGAUUUACUGGGUGGAAAGGGAGCGGAGGCGGUAUGGCAAGUCAGAUGUGAAAAGCCGGGGCCCAACCCUGGGACUGCAUUUGAAACUGCCCUACUUGAGUGCCGGAGAGGUAAGUGGAAUUCCUGGUGUAGCGGUGAAAUGCGUAGAUAUUAGGAGGAACACCAGUGGCGAAGGCGGCUUACUGGACGGUAACUGACGCUGAGGCUCGAAAGCGUGGGGAGCAAACAGGAUUAGAUACCCGUGUAGUC
rnacentral:rRNA from 1 species